rnacentral:rRNA from 1 species
UACGUAGGGGGCAAGCGUUGUCCGGAAUUAUUGGGCGUAAAGCGCGCGCAGGCGGCUACUUAAGUCUGGUGUUUAAACCAUGGGCUCAACCUGUGGUCGCACUGGAAACUGGGUGGCUUGAGUACAGAAGAGGAAAGUGGAAUUCCACGUGUAGCGGUGAAAUGCGUAGAGAUGUGGAGGAACACCAGUGGCGAAGGCGACUUUCUGGGCUGUAACUGACGCUGAGGCGCGAAAGCCAGGGGAGCAAACGGG